UACGAAGGGGGCUAGCGUUGCUCGGAAUCACUGGGCGUAAAGCGCACGUAGGCGGACUUUUAAGUCAGGGGUGAAAUCCUGGAGCUCAACUCCAGAACUGCCUUUGAUACUGGAAGUCUUGAGUUCGAGAGAGGUGAGUGGAACUGCGAGUGUAGAGGUGAAAUUCGUAGAUAUUCGCAAGAACACCAGUGGCGAAGGCGGCUCACUGGCUCGGUACUGACGCUGAGGUGCGAAAGCGUGGGGAGCAAACAGG
rnacentral:rRNA from 1 species